CCAAUAGCGUAUAUUAAAGUUGUUGCAGUUAAAAAGCUCGUAGUUGAAUUUCGGGAUCAAUAUAUUGGUCGUGCCUUGGUACGUACUAAUUUAUUGGUUUCUUCCUUCUGACGAACCAUGAUGUCAUUAAUUUGGUGUUAUGGGGAAUCAGGACUGUUACUUUGAAAAAAUUAGAGUGUUUAAAGCAGGCUCACGCUUGAAUACAUUAGCAUGGAAUAAUGAAAUAGGACGUUUGAUUCUAUUUUGUUGGUUUCUAGGAUCGACGUAAUGAUUAAUAGGGAUAGUUGGGGGCAUUAGUAUUCAAUUGUCAGAGGUGAAAUUCUUGGAUUUAUUGAAGACUAACUACUGCGAAAGCAUUUGCCAAGGAUGUUUUCAUUAAUCAAGAACGAAAGUUAGGGGAUCGAAGACGAUCAGAUACCGUCGUAGUCUUAACCAUAAACUAUGCCGACUAGGGAUCGGAUGAUGUUAAUUUUUUAAUGACUCAUUCGGCGCCUUACG
rnacentral:rRNA from 1 species